rnacentral:tRNA from 1 species
UCCCUGGUGGCUAAGACGGUAAAGCGUCUGCCUACAAUGUGGGAGACCCGGGUUCAAUUCCUGGGUCGGGAA